AGCCGUAUAACUUCCUGUUUACAAAGCAAGUCAAUUAGACAGAUGCACAUGAGUGCACACACACUCCGUAAGAUUUAUUGUACUCCACUAAAACACUUCAUAAACUUCAUAAGAUUUAUCAUACCCACUUUAAUACUAAAGUAUUACACACACACACACACCAUUUACCACCACCCACUCAUGCAAAUACACUCCCCCAUGGCCUAAGACAAACAUCCUCGUUGUGCGACACAGUGUUGACUGUUGUUUUUUUUGAGGUGAACCAGGUAGCCAUGGAAACAAGCCACACCCAACAUUCGCCUCCAUCUCAGUUUGAUGAAGAGUGUGUCACUGUGUGUGUGUAUGUGUGUGGUGGGGAGAGAUCAGAACAUACCACAACACACACCAGCCUGAUCUCACCAAAAGGCGUAAAAUGUCACGCCGGUUUCUUAAGUAAUUUGGCGUGUUAUUUGACGCAUUUAGUGCUUUUGGCGUAUAAUGUCACGCUCUUAAGCGUCCAUUUACUUUCAAUGUGUAGGGAAACGGCGUGUCUAUUUACGCCCAGCACAAAAAUGCUGGGACGGUUUACGCCUGUCCGAAUCUUGAUCUGCCAACAAUGACAUGUUGAUCGAUUGCACAUGUCUGUGCGAAAAGUGGCCAAAUUCGUCAUCAAUUCGCUCCAGCUGAUUGCUGUCAUGUGACGCACGCAACCAGUAAGCGGAAGCGAGAACGAACCAUGUGGGGUAAGUUGUUAAACGAUGUACAUUUAGUAAAUAAUAAUGUUGUUGUUGUUGUUGUUUCGAACAAAAUAUAGGCAUACUUGUCCAGACCGACCAAAGCUCAUUGUUCAUGCUGUAAAACGACUAGAAUCACGCGAAUGUAGUGCAAUUUCUUGUGGGCAAAUACGUGAUAGCCAAAGAAAUCAUUGUUCACGACACGUUAUGGAUAAAUGAUCGAAAUGAGUGCGAUGGCGAUACAAUCAUGCCAUUCCAUUAGUUGACAUGGUGUUUGACAUUACAUUAAGCUGGCUGUUUCACAUAAUAAGCUAUUUGUUUCUUUAGUCUGGGUAAUUCAUGUGAUCAAAAAUGCUGUUAUUCAUGGGUUUCAUCAGGUCCCUUUCCACAGGUGUAUAAAAUCAAGCACCUUGAUUAUCAAUGCAGACUUCAUGGUGCUUGAUUAAUACACCUGUGGAAAGGGACCUGAUGAAACCCAUGAAUAGGCUAACGUUUUACUGAAAAACAAAGCAGUAGGCCUACAACAACAUUCCCAUCUCCAAAAUAUAGCAUUUCUGCAGUGUAGGCUGUAGUAAAAUGCAGUUUUGAUGUCCAAAAGUAGCCUAUUGUAUUUUCCUGCAUAAGAACUACAGAUACUUCUCCAAAACAGUGUUUGCAAACUUGAAGUUGUGGAGUUGAGUAGCCUAUUCUAGUAUUUGAAUGAAUACCCACAACAGUUUUACUCUUGUCUCACCUAGACUAUGUCUAUGAAUUGCAGUAGUGAUACUGAAAAAGGAAAGACAGGUGUCCUGAUGUGUUGUUUAGGGAUGAUGGUCCUGCAAUGUUUUAUAGACAUAUCUUUGUCUUUUUUGUUUUAAUUUCAUCAUGUUUUCACAGAUCCUUGCUCCUGAUAUCCUGAAGUAUGGGUUGCAUUUCGUGACGCCAACAGAACACUCACAGAAAGGAGAGUGGUGUCAAACUACAAGACCGCCAGCAUGUAAACAAGGCCUUGUUUGUCCUUGUUUGGCUACUCAUUUGUCUACUUCCUGAAGAGGUUGAAGCAUGCUGGCCUCGACACCUCAGUCCUUGCUUCAAUUAACAGCUGUGUUAUGGAGCGCAUCCUACAAAGGGCAAUUGGCAGGCAGUGUGCUGUGAGGACUGCUGCCCUGAUUCAUACGGAAGAAGUUCCAAGUUCACUCACUUAUUAGCGAGGUUAACGAGUGGGCUCCAUCAACUGUCCAGGGUGAAGUCGGUCUGUACUGAUUGCACUACCUGCUACUUGAUGAUGUCUGGUAGCCGUGGCUACUGCCCUCAGCCUGGUACACUUGACACUUGACAUUUACUGCCAAAAGGUACCAUCAGAGCACCUCUCCCUACCCUUCAGGACAUCUAUACCAGAAGAGUACAAGGGCCCAAAAUAUUUCAAAAGACAUUUCACACCCUGACCAUGGACUGUUUAAACCACUGAGGUCAAGCAGACGUCUCUGUUCCCACAUGGCUAGAACAGACUGAGAAGGAGUUUCUUUCCUGAAGCCAUCUGCAUCCCGAUCACACAUAACUCUUUAAACUACAUUACAUAGACUUGCCAUACUGCACUUACACACACUGCUCUGUUUACCACCUGAAAAGAUUGUUGCUGCACUGUCUCAGGUUUUGUUCUUGUUUUGUUUUUGUUUUGAUUUGGGGUUAAGUGCGAAAACCAGUGACAUGAACUUCUUUUUGUACACAUUUACAUACUAUGGGUUAUUAAUGUUGUGCCAAUAUUUUAGCUGUCCAUAAUGUUGACACAAAAAAGUUUACAAGGCCCAUAGUAUCACCAGUUUUGCACCUUGUUCCUUAUCUAGGGCCUCAUAUAAAUUGAAUGGGUAUGCACUACAAACAAUGGUCUAGUCAUACUGAGAACAUGUCUGCCUUCCAUCUUCCACCAAGUUUGGACAAGCUAGGAACAAUAUUUUUUAAAUAUAUCAAUGCCUAAAGAUGGCCUCCAAGAUAAGGAAUUUCUGAGAGUGAAAAUGAUACAAAAUCAAGGGUGAAAAGGUGUAUGGAAUUAUAAAAUUGAGCAAAAAUAUUUUACAGGUCUUGGUUUUGGGACUUAAAGGUAGUCAAGAGCAAAAUCUGAGAGGGUGCAGCAACUGUUUUCCUGGAUUUGAUCUGACUUGAAACAGAAUGACCCCCUUCCCUAUCGUUAAAUUACAUGUAUUUCUAAAUCCUUCUUUCUUUAUCCUGUACACCUCUGCAGAGGCAAGUUGAGAAGCUGAAUGCCAGUUCUCUAUGUAUUUUACAAUGAUAUCUUUGUAUCUGACAAUUCCUUGAAUUCCUUCAAUUUUGUAUUGCCAUAUUUUGUGAUGUCUACAGAAAUAAAAAUACUUGUUACCGA